rnacentral:tRNA from 1 species
GCAAUGGUGGUUAAAGGGUGGAAUUCUAGCCUUCCACGUCAGAGACCCAGGUUUGAUUCCUUGCUAACGCA